GUGAGGAAUUUUCCGCAAUGGGCGAAAGCCUGACGGAGCAAUGCCGCGUGAAGGAUGAAGGCCUAUGGGUUGUAAACUUCUUUUCUUAGAGAAGAAUAUUGACGGUAUCUGAGGAAUAAGCAUCGGCUAACUCUGUGCCAGCAGCCGCGGUAAGACAGAGGAUGCAAGCGUUAUCCGGAAUGAUUGGGCGUAAAGCGUCUGUAGGUGGCUUCAAAAGUCUCCUGUCAAAGGUCAGGGCUUAACCCUGGGCCGGCCGGAGAAACUCUGAGGCUAGAGUUUGGUAGGGGCAGAGGGAAUUCCCGGUGGAGCGGUGAAAUGCGUAGAGAUCGGGAGGAACACCAAAGGCGAAAGCACUCUGCUGGGCCACAACUGACACUGAGAGACGAAAGCGAGGGGAGCAAAAGGGAUUAGAAACCCCAGUAGUCC
rnacentral:rRNA from 1 species